UGGAUGCUCACAGUCAGCUAAUGGAUGGAU
rnacentral:piRNA from 1 species